UACGUAGGGUGCAAGCGUUGUUCGGAUUUAUUGGGCGUAAAGCGCGUGUAGGCGGUUUCUUAAGUCUGAUGUGAAAGCCCCGGGCUCAACCCGGGAAGUGCAUUGGAUACUGGGAGACUUGAAUACGGGAGAGGGUAGUGGAAUUCCUAGUGUAGGAGUGAAAUCCGUAGAUAUUAGGAGGAACACCGGUGGCGAAGGCGGCUACCUGGACCGAUAUUGACGCUGAGACGCGAAAGCGUGGGGAGCAAACAGG
rnacentral:rRNA from 1 species